CCUACGGGGGGCUGCAGUCGAGAAUCAUUCACAAUGGGGGAAACCCUGAUGGUGCGACGCCGCGUGGGGGAAUGAAGGUCUUCGGAUUGUAAACCCCUGUCAUGUGGGAGCAAAUUAAAAAGAUAGUACCACAAGAGGAAGAGACGGCUAACUCUGUGCCGGCAGCCGCGGUAAUACAGAGGUCUCAAGCGUUGUUCGGAAUCACUGGGCGUAAAGCGUGCGUAGGCUGUUUCGUAAGUCGUGUGUGAAAGGGGCGGGCUCAACCCGCGGACGGCACAUGAUACUGCGAGACUAGAGUAAUGGAGGGGGAACCGGAAUUCUCGGUGUAGCAGUGAAAUGCGUAGAUAUCGAGAGGAACACUCGUGGCGAAGGCGGGUUCCUGGACAUUAACUGACGCUGAGGCACGAAGGCCAGGGGAGCGAAAGGGAUUAGAUACCCGGGUAGUC
rnacentral:rRNA from 1 species